rnacentral:rRNA from 1 species
GUGGGGAAUAUUGCGCAAUGGGGGAAACCCUGACGCAGCGACGCCGCGUGAGCGAAGAAGGCCUUAGGGUUGUAAAGCUCUGUUUUAAGGGACGAAUGUCGUGGGGAGUAAUAUGCUCUGCGAAUGACGGUACCUUAAGAGGAAGCCCCGGCUAACUACGUGCCAGCAGCCGCGGUAAGACGUAGGGGGCGAGCGUUGUCCGGAAUUACUGGGCGUAAAGAGCACGUAGGCGGGAACUUAAGUCAGGUGUGAAAGACCGGGGCUCAAGUCCGGGGUUGCACUUGAAACUGGGUUUCUUGAGGGCAGGAGAGGAAAGCAGAAUUCCUGGUGUAGCGGUGAAAUGCGUAGAAAUCAGGAGGAAUACCAGUGGCGAAGGCGGCUUUCUGGACUGACCCUGACGCUGAGGUGCGAAAGCGUGGGUAGCAAACAGGAUUAGAUACCCUGGUAGUCC